UACGUAGGGUGCGAGCGUUAAUCGGAAUUACUGGGCGUAAAGCGUGCGCAGGCGGCGGCCCAAGUCAGGCGUGAAAUCCCCGGGCUUAACCUGGGAAUUGCGCUUGAAACUAGGUCGCUAGAGUGUGGCAGAGGGGGGUGGAAUUCCACGUGUAGCAGUGAAAUGCGUAGAGAUGUGGAGGAACACCGAUGGCGAAGGCAGCCCCCUGGGUCAACACUGACGCUCAGGCACGAAAGCGUGGGGAGCAAACAGG
rnacentral:rRNA from 1 species